ACCGCCCUUAGUUUAGUUUAGAAUAGCAGUUUGUCGUAUUGUUGGUGGUAUUUGCCAGAGCGGUG
rnacentral:tRNA from 1 species